GACAGAGGUCCCGAGCGUUAGGCGGAAUCACUGGGCUUAAAGCGUGUGUAGGCGGAUCGUUAAGUGCCUUGUGAAAUCCCACGGCUCAACCGUGGAACUGCUGGGCAUACUGGCGGUCUUGAGCCACUUAGGGGCUACCGGAACAAAUGGUGGAGCGGUGAAAUGCGUAGAUAUCAUUUGGAACGCCAAUGGUGAAAACAGGUUGCUGGGGUUGUGCCGACGCUGAGACACGAAAGCCAGGGGAGCAAACGGG
rnacentral:rRNA from 1 species